rnacentral:lncRNA from 1 species
GUUACAGAGAACCCCGAACAACCCAAACUGUUAAUCUUCAAUACCCUUUUGUACUUACGAUCUUGUAUCCACUGACUGUCUUGUUAGAUUAACCCAAUAAAUUUCAUUCACUCCGCAUACUCAAUCCUAUAGACACUCUUUUAAUCCUUCAAUCACAGACGUAACUCGAUUUCACAAAACAGUCAAGAGUAUUCAAACCCACUUCAUUUAAAAAUCCCGAUUCACCAUUACAACACUGACUUCAGCAGUGAUUGCCUCAGUCUUCCCCAAAACUCUACGUAGAAGAAAAA